GGCCGAGAUAGCUCAGUCGGUAGAGC
rnacentral:tRNA from 1 species